AGCGAACGCUGGCGGCAGGCCUAACACAUGCAAGCCGAACGAACCCUUCGGGGUUAGUGGCGGACGGGUGAGUAACACGUGGGAACGUGCCUUUAGGUUCGGAAUAACUCAGGGAAACUUGUGCUAAUACCGAAUGUGCCCUUCGGGGGAAAGAUUUAUCGCCUUUAGAGCGGCCCGCGUCUGAUUAGCUAGUUGGUGAGGUAAUGGCUCACCAAGGCUACGAUCAGUAGCUGGUCUGAGAGGAUGACCAGCCACAUUGGGACUGAGACACGGCCCAAACUCCUACGGGAGGCAGCAGUGGGGAAUCUUGCGCAAUGGGCGAAAGCCUGACGCAGCCAUGCCGCGUGGAUGAUGAAGGUCUUAGGAUUGUAAAAUCCUUUCACCGGUGAAGAUAAUGACUGUAGCCGGAGAAGAAGCACCGGCUAACUACGUGCCAGCAGCCGCGGUAAAAC
rnacentral:rRNA from 1 species